UACGGAGGAUGCGAGCGUUAUCCGGAUUUAUUGGGUUUAAAGGGUGCGUAGGCUGUGAGGUAAGUCAGCGGUGAAAUGCCCCCGCUCAACGGGGUGAAGUGCCAUUGAUACUGCCUUGCUGGAAUGCGGAUGCCGUGGGAGGAAUGUGUGGUGUAGCGGUGAAAUGCAUAGAUAUCACGCAGAACCCCGAUUGCGAAGGCAGCAUACCGGUGCACAACUGACGCUCAGGCACGAAAGCGUGGGUAUCGAACAGG
rnacentral:rRNA from 1 species